GACAGAGGUGCCAAGCGUUAGGCGGAAUCACUGGGCUUAAAGCGUGUGUAGGUGGAUUUGUAAGUACCUUGUGAAAUCCCAUGGCUCAACCAUGGAACUGCUCGGUAUACUGCGAAUCUUGAGCCACUUAGGGGCUACCGGAACAAAUGGUGGAGCGGUGAAAUGCGUAGAUAUCAGGAGGAACACCAAUGGCGAAGGCAGCUCGCUGGGACGUGACUGACGCUGAGACGCGAAAGCGUGGGGAGCAAACAGG
rnacentral:rRNA from 1 species